rnacentral:rRNA from 1 species
UACGUAGGGGGCAAGCGUUAUCCGGAAUUACUGGGUGUAAAGGGUGCGUAGGUGGUAUGGCAAGUCAGAAGUGAAAACCCAGGGCUUAACUCUGGGACUGCUUUUGAAACUGUCAGACUGGAGUGCAGGAGAGGUAAGCGGAAUUCCUAGUGUAGCGGUGAAAUGCGUAGAUAUUAGGAGGAACAUCAGUGGCGAAGGCGGCUUACUGGACUGAAACUGACACUGAGACACGAAAGCGUGGGGAGCAAACAGG